rnacentral:lncRNA from 1 species
GAAUACUGGAAAAGAGUUUCCACAGGAUUUACAGAUGAACUCGAGUCGAGCCAAUCUAGCAUAUAACUGACGAUGGGGUUUGACGAGUUCUCUAUGACCUCCGUCAAGUCGGGACUCACGAUAGAGGGAUUGUAUCACACGAUAACUGCAUCUAAGGGUUUAUUUUUUUGUUCUGUUGGAUUGCCACUACAUGUUGCUAGACGUCACUG